rnacentral:rRNA from 1 species
AGAGUUUGAUUCUGGCUCAGAUUGAACGCUGGCGGCGUGCUUAACACAUGCAAGUCGAACGUGAAAGUCCUUCGGGGCGAGUAAAGUGGCGCACGGGUGAGUAACGCGUGGAUAAUCUACCCUUAAGAUGGGGAUAACGGCUGGAAACGGUCGCUAAUACCGAAUACGCUCCCGAUUUUAUCGUUGGGGGGAAAGAUGGCCUCUGCUUGCAAGCUAUCGCUUAAGGAUGAGUCCGCGUCCCAUUAGCUGGUUGGCGGGGUAACGGCCCACCAAGGCGACGAUGGGUAGCCGGUCUGAGAGGAUGACCGGCCACACUGGAACUGGAACACGGUCCAGACUCCUACGGGAGGCAGCAGUGGGGAAUAUUGCGCAAUGGGCGAAAGCCUGACGCAGCGACGCCGCGUGAGGGAUGAAGGUUCUCGGAUCGUAAACCUCUGUCAGGGGGGAAGAAACCCCCUCGUGUGAAUAAUGCGAGGGCUUGACGGUACCCCCAAAGGAAGCACCGGCUAACUCCGUGCCAGCAGCCGCGGUAAUACGGAGGGUGCAAGCGUUAAUCGGAAUCACUGGGCGUAAAGCGCACGUAGGCGGCUUGGUAAGUCAGGGGUGAAAUCCCACAGCCCAACUGUGGAACUGCCUUUGAUACUGCCAGGCUUGAGUACCGGAGAGGGUGGCGGAAUUCCAGGUGUAGGAGUGAAAUCCGUAGAUAUCUGGAGGAACACCGGUGGCGAAGGCGGCCACCUGGACGGUAACUGACGCUGAGGUGCGAAAGCGUGGGUAGCAAACAGGAUUAGAUACCCUGGUAGUCCACGCUGUAAACGAUGAUUACUAGGUGUGGGGGGUCUGACCCCUUCCGUGCCGGAGUUAACACAAUAAGUAAUCCACCUGGGGAGUACGGCCGCAAGGUUGAAACUCAAAGGAAUUGACGGGGGCCCGCACAAGCAGUGGAGUAUGUGGUUUAAUUCGAAGCAACGCGAAGAACCUUACCAGGUCUUGACAUCCGAUGCAUAGUGCAGAGAUGCAUGAAGUCCUUCGGGACAUCGAGACAGGUGGUGCAUAACAUUAUCUAGUUUUAAAUAAGAAGCAUCCUCUAUAUAUUUGGAGGAAUAUUUAUAGGUCGUACUUGUGAAAUUCGUUUGAGAUAACCAGUUUGAUGAGAUAUUUCUAAGUCCGAUGCUGCUUAGAUUUUCAUAUUCCAUCGCAUAGUUGUUCAGAAUUUCUCCGCCGAUAGAUGCACGUAGUGAGAAGCUCAAGUCGAAUUUCUUAUAUCUGAAGGUAUUACUCCAGCUAAGAGUGGCAUCCGGAUAAGCACAGCCAAUUUUUUCCCAUUGUUCUUCCGGUACGGAACCGUCUGCAUUUUGUCCUAGCAAUACAU